rnacentral:rRNA from 1 species
GAUGAACGCUGGCGGCGUGCCUAAUACAUGCAAGUCGAGCGAACAGACGAGGAGCUUGCUCCUCUGACGUUAGCGGCGGACGGGUGAGUAACACGUGGAUAACCUACCUAUAAGACUGGGAUAACUUCGGGAAACCGGAGCUAAUACCGGAUAACAUGUUGAACCGCAUGGUUCAACAGUGAAAGACGGUCUUGCUGUCACUUAUAGAUGGAUCCGCGCCGCAUUAGCUAGUUGGUAAGGUAACGGCUUACCAAGGCAACGAUGCUUAGCCGACCUGGGAGGGUGAUCGGCCACGCUGGAGCUGAGACACGGACCAGACUCCUACGGGAGGCAGCAGUAGGGAAUCUUCCGCAAUGGGCGAAAGCCUGACGGAGCAACGCCGCGUGAGUGAAGAAGGUCUUCUGAUCGUAAAACUCUGUUAUUAGGGAAGAACAAAUGUGUAAGUAACUAUGCACGUCUUGACGGUACCUAAUCAGAAAGCCACGGCUAACUACGUG